GGCAAGUCCGAACGAUCUCUGGAAAUGUCGGUGCUCGCAUCAUGAUUUACAUUUGAGUGAGUGGCGAACUGGUGAGUAACACGUGGGAAACCUGCCCAGAAGCGGGGGAUAACACCUGGAAACAGAUGCUAAUACCGCAUAACAACUUGGACCGCAUGGUCCGAGUUUGAAAGAUGGCUUCGGCUAUCACUUUUGGAUGGUCCCGCGGCGUAUUAGCUAGAUGGUGGGGUAACGGCUCACCAUGGCAAUGAUACGUAGCCGACCUGAGAGGGUAAUCGGCCACAUUGGGACUGAGACACGGCCCAAACUCCUACGGGAGGCAGCAGUAGGGAAUCUUCCACAAUGGACGAAAGUCUGAUGGAGCAACGCCGCGUGAGUGAAGAAGGGUUUCGGCUCGUAAAACUCUGUUGUUAAAGAAGAACAUAUCUGAGAGUAACUGUUCAGGUAUUGACGGUAUUUAACCAGAAAGCCACGGCUAACUACGUGCCAGCAGCCGCGGUAAUACGUAGGUGGCAAGCGUUGUCCGGAUUUAUUGGGCGUAAAGCGAGCGCAGGCGGUUUUUUAAGUCUGAUGUGAAAGCCUUCGGCUCAACCGAAGAAGUGCAUCGGAAACUGGGAAACUUGAGUGCAGAAGAGGACAGUGGAACUCCAUGUGUAGCGGUGAAAUGCGUAGAUAUAUGGAAGAACACCAGUGGCGAAGGCGGCUGUCUGGUCUGUAACUGACGCUGAGGCUCGAAAGUAUGGGUAGCAAACAGGAUUAGAUACCCUGGUAGUCCAUACCGUAAACGAUGAAUGCUAAGUGUUGGAGGGUUUCCGCCCUUCAGUGCUGCAGCUAACGCAUUAAGCAUUCCGCCUGGGGAGUACGGCCGCAAGGCUGAAACUCAAAGGAAUUGACGGGGGCCCGCACAAGCGGUGGAGCAUGUGGUUUAAUUCGAAGCUACGCGAAGAACCUUACCAGGUCUUGACAUACUAUGCAAAUCUAAGAGAUUAGACGUUCCCUUCGGGGACAUGGAUACAGGUGGUGCAUGGUUGUCGUCAGCUCGUGUCGUGAGAUGUUGGGUUAAGUCCCGCAACGAGCGCAACCCUUAUUAUCAGUUGCCAGCAUUAAGUUGGGCACUCUGGUGAGACUGCCGGUGACAAACCGGAGGAAGGUGGGGAUGACGUCAAAUCAUCAUGCCCCUUAUGACCUGGGCUACACACGUGCUACAAUGGAUGGUACAACGAGUUGCGAACUCGCGAGAGUAAGCUAAUCUCUUAAAGCCAUUCUCAGUUCGGAUUGUAGGCUGCAACUCGCCUACAUGAAGUCGGAAUCGCUAGUAAUCGCGGAUCAGCAUGCCGCGGUGAAUACGUUCCCGGGCCUUGUACACACCGCCCGUCACACCAUGAGGAGUUUGUAACACCCAAAGUCGGUGGGGUAACCUGAGGAACCAAGCCGC
rnacentral:rRNA from 1 species